GGUUAAGCGACUAAGCGUACACGGUGGAUGCCCUGGCAGUCAGAGGCGAUGAAGGGCGUGCUAAUCUGCGAUAAGCGCCGGUAAGGUGAUAUGAACCGUUAUAACCGGCGAUACCCGAAUGGGGAAACCCAGUGUGACUCGUCACACUAUCAUUAACUGAAUCCAUAGGUUAAUGAGGCGAACCGGGGGAACUGAAACAUCUAAGUACCCCGAGGAAAAGAAAUCAACCGAGAUUCCCCCAGUAGCGGCGAGCGAACGGGGAGGAGCCCAGAGCCUGAAUCAGCAUGUGUGUUAGUGGAAGCGUCUGGAAAGGCGCGCGAUACAGGGUGACAGCCCCGUACACAAAAGCGCAUGUGCUGUGAGCUCGAUGAGUAGGGCGGGACACGUGGUAUCCUGUCUGAAUAUGGGGGGACCAUCCUCCAAGGCUAAAUACUCCUGACUGACCGAUAGUGAACCAGUACCGUGAGGGAAAGGCGAAAAGAACCCCGGCGAGGGGAGUGAAAAAGAACCUGAAACCGUGUACGUACAAGCAGUGGGAGCCCCACCACUAA
rnacentral:rRNA from 1 species